GGUACUUAAAGCGAGGUUGCCCUUUGUAUAUUCGGUUUUUUGGCAUAGAAUAUACAAGGGCAAGCUCUCUGUGAGUAUC
rfam:Camelus ferus unplaced genomic scaffold scaffold726, whole genome shotgun sequence.